AAUGAAGCGCCGCAAUUGUUGAUCCUGAAUCGUAAAACGGGAAUAAAAAGUAAAAAAUAUUAGACUAAUCUCCACGUACACAUUUCCGCAGAAAUUUUUUCAUUCAUAGACCUGCGGGUGAUGCAACUUCAUCUUUAAGUUGCCCAGGAUGCCGUUGAGUUUCCUUGGCCAUUGCCCCCGCCCCUAGAAUGGUUUGCGUCGCCAAUUUAUACGCCAAAUUCCUUGGCAUUCCCAUUUUAACCGCGCCAUCGGCCAGGGCUUCGAUCAUGACGAAUACCUGGAGGUAUAAUAAAAGAUGUGCGGGUCCAGAGCUGGCGAGUGCGGUGACUGGAUCGAUCAUGUUCUCACCGACUUCCUCGCAUAUUCCAACGCUUUUAAAAAGUCGACUUGCGAUGUCGGCGUCCUUCUGAUCGGCAUUUUUACCACGUGCGAAUACUGUAGCUCCAAAUCCUACGACGGAUGGGGUAUUCGGCAUCGCUCUGAUCACUGGAGUUUCCGAAGGCAACGCCUGGAGGGUUUCAAAAUUAAUUUUAUCAUAGGCGUGAGUUAUGAAUUAUCCCGGUAACGAAAGAAUUUGUUGCAGUAUAAUGCGACGAUCAAAU
rnacentral:misc_RNA from 1 species